rnacentral:rRNA from 1 species
AUUGAACGCUGGCGGCAUGCCUCACACAUGCAAGUCGAACGGUAACGGGCCUUCGGGUGCCGACGAGUGGCGAACGGGGGAGUAAUGCAUCGGAACGUACCCAUCAGUGGGGGAUAACUCUCCGAAAGGAGGGCUAAUACCGCAUAUUCUGUGCGCAGGAAAGCGGGGGACCGCAAGGCCUCGCGCUGAGGGAGCGGCCGAUGUCAGAUUAGCUAGUUGGUGGGGUAAAGGCCUACCAAGGCGACGAUCUGUAGCGGGUCUGAGAGGAUGAUCCGCCACACUGGGACUGAGACACGGCCCAGACUCCUACGGGAGGCAGCAGUGGGGAAUUUUGGACAAUGGGGGCAACCCUGAUCCAGCCAUGCCGCGUGAGUGAAGAAGGCCUUCGGGUUGUAAAGCUCUUUCGGCCGGGAAGAAAUCGCAUCUCCUAAUACGGGGUGUGGAUGACGGUACCGGAAUAAGAAGCACCGGCUAACUGCGUGCCAGCCGCCGCGGUAA